CCCGAGCGCCCGUCCCGGAGCCCGCUCCCCGGCGGCGGGCGGCGGGGCAGGGCGCGGGGCUGCUUUACCCGGUCUCCUCCUCCUCGAGCUCCGAGAUGUCCGCGAAGAUGAGGAAGCCCACGAGCAGGAUGCCAAGUGUUGCCAGAAGAUUGAGCAGCGGUUUCGUUGGGGUCAGAACUUCCAGCCAGGACCUGCCCAUCAAAACCCAAUAAUCUAGGAAGUAUUUGGAAUGAAAACCCUUUCCUUGAUGUUGAUAUGGCACCAGAUCUACGGCUCUGCAUCAGAAAAGGGAAUCCACCUCUUGGAUGAGUAUCAUGAGAGCAGUCCCUAAAGAGGGAAGAGAGAGGAAUUUGUCAUGGUGCUAGGAGGAGCACUUCUCAACAUCUCUGCCCGAAGAACAGGUUUGGCCUGCCUUGGAUUAGACUGAGGCCUCAUUGCACAAUCCAUGAGAUGUUUCCUAAGCCUGAACUCCUGUGAUUGCUGGGUGAGGCUGGGAAAAGAGCAGCAAAUGGUACACUCCAUGAAAAAUGGGCUUCUCCCAAGCAAUAAAGGCACUGUUCGUGGUCAUUGAUGCCUGGAAAGGAGUAGGGGCAUAAUCUCUGUCCUGUAUUGGGAAGGAAGAGGAAAGGAAGGGAAAUUCUCACAUUCUAAUUAGAAAUUAAUUCUAGGAAAACUAGAGCUAAAUCUAACUAAUAAUAACUCUAUUUACAAUAUUUGCAGGUUUGAAGACAGGAUCAGCUUGGGAUGCUGGAGGGUUCUGAUUCAGACCAUGCGGCAGUAUAGGAUGAAUGGGAGAGGGGGGCUGUUCACAUCAUCCCUUUAGGCCCUUGGUUUGGAGCAUGAGGAGGAGGAGAAGAACACAGGCCCGACCAAUGGACAUUGCAAACAAGAAUCCUAUGGUCUCAGAUGCAAGGAGCUCAUGCAUACUCCACAGUGUUACACACACAAAAAUCAGCACUUGAAGAAGAACUAGGGAAUCUACCCAUUACAAUUACUUUGACUUCAACUAUAAACAGUACAUCCUUAUCUAAGGGCCUGACCCUGCUUUCCCUGUGCACCCAAAACUCCCACUGAAGUCAACUAUGGCAUUUUUAAAAUAAAAACUCCUUUAGUUUUUAGAAUUUCAGGACAUGGGAACCCAUAUAAUACCAAGCUAACAAAAAAGCUUGGAUGAAACAAACCACUAGAUCGCACGUAGACCUUCUCACCAGAUUUCCAGUCCAGUUUUGCAAACUCGAUGUCCCAAAAACUUGACAAGUACUCAGAAAAAUCAAUGUAAAGGUCUUGACCUCAGCAGGUUUACACUGGAGCUGGAUUUGAUGCCUGGACUUGGCAUUCAAUCAAACUCUUGAACCUUCUGAGGUUCACGCAUUCCUAGUGGAAAAAAAUCCUUCCAUUUAUUCAUGGAAAUAUAGUGAUCAAUCAACUUUUAUCGUUCCAGCUUUCAUUAUAGCAGCUUAGAACAACAGAAUAAAAGCACAUAAUGAAAACAUUGUAAAGAUGUAAUAAAAACACACAAUACUUGACUGUGCAAGCAUUGCUGUUUUAGCACAUCUUGGGGACCUGCACAGGAGAGGGUCCAGUCUUCUGGUGCUCCAUAACACUACAUCACACUCUUUCCACUCUGGGAAUUGUGCGAUUUAAACCACAGGAGUUAUGGGAGACUUUCAAAAUGUUUAGAUGCAGCAAAUACCUGAAAGGUCUCUGGAUGGGUUUUGUCAUCUUGGCAUGGAAAGUUAGGUGGGAAAAUCACUUGAGAACAGCCUCUCUUGUUGUACCAUGGAACUUCCUGGAAAUAGCAAGGAGAGAAAAGAUAGGUUCAGUUUGGGAUUUGGAAGAAAGUUAAGGGAGGUGUGGGUGAUCAUGAUGUUCUUUGAUCUGUCCAGACCCAUCUCUAAUUCAAACUUUUUGGACCAGAUUCAGUCUAGAUAUGAAUAGACUCAACUCCCAAAGUACCUGCCAAAGGCUGGAUUUGGCUUUUUGUGGAUGCCUUGUAUCACAAAGGUGCCACCUGGUUUGCUUUCAAGAGAUUAUUUCAUCUAAUCUAAUCUAAUCAUAGAAUAUCAGGGUUGGAAGAGACCUCAGGAGGUCAUCUAGUCCAACCCCCUGCUCAAAGCAGGACCAACCCCAACACCAGUUCAUGAAGCACUAUGGUAUAUGAGCACCUAACUAUCCCUUCUCCGGCUCUCAUUAUUAUAAUAUUCUGGCUCCAGAAUUAAUCCUUUCCUGCAUACAUUUUCAGUUUGAAAAAAAAAAGUGGGAAAUAUCUCCCAGGAUGGGAAGAUCUAAUUAGUUUCACCCACCCCCUUUUGGUGUGUUCAUGCUCAUGUCUCUUUUCACAGUGAUAAAUCAAUCUAGGCAGUGAUUUUACUGUCAGUUCCAAGAGGCCCAGAGAGUUUGUCUUUUAUUUUAAUAAUUAACAAUUAAUGUUUUCACCUUCAAAAUGUUUCAUAAACAUUAAAGAGUCACUAUGAAUUUAACGAAAAGAAAAGGAGUACU